AUUGAACGCUGGCGGCAUGCCUUACACAUGCAAGUCGAACGGUAACGCGGGGCAACCUGGCGACGAGUGGCGAACGGGUGAGUAACGCAUCGGAACGUGCCCAGUAGUGGGGGAUAGCCCGGCGAAAGCCGGAUUAAUACCGCAUACGACCUCAGGGUGAAAGCGGGGGAUCGCAAGACCUCGCGCUAUUGGAGCGGCCGAUGUCAGAUUAGGUAGUUGGUGGGGUAAAAGCCUACCAAGCCUGCGAUCUGUAGCUGGUCUUAGAGGGCGACCAGCCACACUGGGACUGAGACACGGCCCAGACUCCUACGGGAGGCAGCAGUGGGGAAUUUUGGACAAUGGGCGAAAGCCUGAUCCAGCCAUGCCGCGUGCGGGAAGAAGGCCUCGGUUGUAACCGACUUUGUCGGGUAGAACGUACGCGACCUAAUACGUCGCGGUAAGUGACGGUACCUGAAGAAUAAGACACCGGC
rnacentral:rRNA from 1 species